CAACCUGCCGUCUACUCUUGGACAGCCUUCUGAAAGGAAGAUUAAUACAAGAUGGCAUCAUGAGUCCGCAUGUUCACAUGAUUAAAGGUAUUCCGGUAGACGAUGGGGAUGCGUUCCAUUAGAUAGUAGGCGGGGUAACGGCCCACCUAGUCUUCGAUGGAUAGGGGUUCUGAGAGGAAGGUCCCCCACAUUGGAACUGAGACACGGUCCAAACUCCUACGGGAGGCAGCAGUGAGGAAUAUUGGUCAAUGGGCGAGAGCCUGAACCAGCCAAGUAGCGUGAAGGAUGACUGCCCUAUGGGUUGUAAACUUCUUUUAUAAAGGAAUAAAGUCGGGUAUGGAUACCCGUUUGCAUGUACUUUAUGAAUAAGGAUCGGCUAACUCCGUGCCAGCAGCCGCGGUAAUACGGAGGAUCCGAGCGUUAUCCGGAUUUAUUGGGUUUAGAGGGAGCGUAGAUGGAUGUUUAAGUCAGUUGUGAAAGUUUGCGGCUCGACCGUAAAAUUGCAGUUGAUACUGGAUAUCUUGAGUGCAGUUGANGCAGGCGGAAUUCGUGGUGUAGCGGUGAAAUGCUUAGAUAUCACGAAGAACUCCGAUUG
rnacentral:rRNA from 1 species